GACGAACGCUGGCGGCGUGCUUAACACAUGCAAGUCGAACGGAAAGGCCCUGCUUUUGUGGGGUGCUCGAGUGGCGAACGGGUGAGUAACACGUGAGUAACCUGCCCUUGACUUUGGGAUAACUUCAGGAAACGGGGGCUAAUACCGGAUAGGAGCUCCUGCUGCAUGGUGGGGGUUGGAAAGUUUCGGUGGUUGGGGUUGGACUCGCGGCUGAUCAGCAUGUUGGUGGGGUAGUGGAUUAGCAAGGCGUUGACGGGUAGCCGGACUGAGAGGGUGACCGGGCACAUUGGGCCUGAGGAGCGGCCCGGAGUCCUACGGGAGGCAGCGGUGGAGGAUAUUGCGCAAUAGGCGGAGGCCUGAUGCAGCAACUCCGCGUGCGGGAUGACGGUCUUCGGGUUGUAACCCGCUUGCGCCUGUGACGAAGCGUGAGUGACGGUAAUGGAUAAAGAAGCACCGGCUAACUACGUG
rnacentral:rRNA from 1 species